GAGUACCAAACUGUGUGCACCGCCUCAACUCCCAUUUCUGUCAAUGGAUUCUUACUACGGGUGCUGUGCUGCAGACAGGCCAACAGAACAUGGAAUCGCUGGUACAGAAGAACCGCCUGAGACGGGCUGACUGGAUACUGCAGGUCUGAGAGAACCAGAACCACCUGCUGGGCCUGAUAUCCAACAAACGGGAGCUAUGAUAGAGAUAAUGGAAAGACCAAACAGGAUGAUCAUAUUAGCUGAAGCUCUAGAGAGAGCCCUGACCCGUCGAGGCUUGGACUCUACUAGACCCCUGAAGGUGUGCCUUCUUCCCAUAGUACAUCCUGUUGCCAUGUGUUCCCCAGGUAAGCAAUGCACACGCACCCGGCCAUCCACGUGAUUCAUCAGACCAGGCCACCUUCUUCCAUUGCUCUGUGGUCCAGUUCUGAUGCUCACGUGCCCACUGUUGGCGCUUUCGGCGGUGGACAGGGGUCAGCAUGGGCACCCUGACUGGUCUGCAGCUAUGCAGCCCCAUACGCAACAAACUGCGAUGCACUGUGUAUUCUGACACCUUUCUAUCAGAACCAGCAUUAACUUCUUGAGCAAUUUGAGCUAUAGCAGCUCGUCUGUUGGAUCGGACCACAGGGGCCAGCCUUUGCUCCCCACGUGCAUCAAUGAGCCUUGGCCGCCCAUGACCUUGUUGGUUCACCACUGUUCCUUCCUUGGACCACUUUUGAUAGAUACUGACCACUGCAGACCGGGAACACCCCACAAGAGCUGCAGUUUUGGAGAAACUCUGACCCAGUGUCUAGCCAUCACAAUUUGGCCCUUGUCAAACUCGCUCAAAUCCUUACGCUUGCCCAUUUUUCCUGCUUCUAACACAUCAACUUUGAGGACAAAAUGUUCAUUUGCUGCCAUAUAUAUUCCACCCACUAACAGGUGCCGUGAUGAAAAGAUAAUCAGUGUUAUUCACUUCACCUGUCAGUGGUCAUAAUGUUAUGCCUGAUCGGUGUAUUUAUAUAUGC